GGGCAUGGCGGCAGGCUACACAUGCAGUCGAGCGGAGAUGAGGUGCUUGCACCUUAUCUUAGCGGCGGACGGGUGAGUAAUGCUUAGGAAUCUGCCUAUUAGUGGGGGACAACAUUCCGAAAGGAAUGCUAAUACCGCAUACGUCCUACGGGAGAAAGCAGGGGAUCUUCGGACCUUGCGCUAAUAGAUGAGCCUAAGUCGGAUUAGCUAGUUGGUGGGGUAAAGGCCUACCAAGGCGACGAUCUGUAGCGGGUCUGAGAGGAUGAUCCGCCACACUGGGACUGAGACACGGCCCAGACUCCUACGGGAGGCAGCAGUGGGGAAUAUUGGACAAUGGGGGAAACCCUGAUCCAGCCAUGCCGCGUGUGUGAAGAAGGCCUUAUGGUUGUAAAGCACUUUAAGCGAGGAGGAGGCUACUGAGACUAAUACUCUUGGAUAGUGGACGUUACUCGCAGAAUAAGCACCGGCUAACUCUGUGCCAGCAGCCGCGGUAAUACAGAGGGUGCGAGCGUUAAUCGGAUUUACUGGGCGUAAAGCGUGCGUAGGCGGCUUUUUAAGUCGGAUGUGAAAUCCCCGAGCUUAACUUGGGAAUUGCAUUCGAUACUGGGAAGCUAGAGUAUGGGAGAGGAUGGUAGAAUUCCAGGUGUAGCGGUGAAAUGCGUAGAGAUCUGGAGGAAUACCGAUGGCGAAGGCAGCCAUCUGGCCUAAUACUGACGCUGAGGUACGAAAGCAUGGGGAGCAAACAGGAUUAGAUACCCUGGUAGUCCAUGCCGUAAACGAUGUCUACUAGCCGUUGGGGCCUUUGAGGCUUUAGUGGCGCAGCUAACGCGAUAAGUAGACCGCCUGGGGAGUACGGUCGCAAGACUAAAACUCAAUGAAUUGACGGGGCCCGCACAAGCGGUGGAGCAUGUGGUUUAAUUCGAUGCACGCGAGACUUACCUGGUCUUGACAUACUAGAAACUUUCAGAGAUGAUGUGCUUCGGGAUCUAGAUACAGUGCUGCAUGCUGUCGU
rnacentral:rRNA from 1 species